UAAACUGAAGAGUUUGAUCAUGGCUCAGAUUGAACGCUGGCGGCAGGCUUAACACAUGCAAGUCGAGCGGGGAAAGGUAGCUUGCUACCUGACCUAGCGGCGGACGGGUGAGUAAUGCUUAGGAAUCUGCCUAUUAGUGGGGGACAACGUUCCGAAAGGAACGCUAAUACCGCAUACGUCCUACGGGGGAAAGCAGGGGAUCUUCGGACCUUGCGCUAAUAGAUGAGCCUAAGUCGGAUUAGCUAGUUGGUGGGGUAAAGG
rnacentral:rRNA from 1 species